CUCAGAGUGAACGCUGGCGGCGUGGAUUAGGCAUGCAAGUCGAGCGAUCUCGCAAGGGAUAGCGGCGAACGGGUUAGGAACACGUAGAUAAUCUUCCUUAUAUCCUGACAUAGCCUUAUGAAAAUAAGGGUAAUAUCAGAUGGUAUCUUAGAAGGACAUCCUUUAAAGAUUAAAGUAGGGGACCGCAAGGCCUUACGAUAUAAGAUGAGUUUGCGUAGCAUCAGCUAGUUGGUAGGGUAAUGGCCUACCAAGGCUUUGACGCUUAGCUGGUCUGAGAGGAUGGUCAGCCACACUGGGACUGAGACACUGCCCAGACUCCUACGGGAGGCUGCAGUCGAGAAUCUUUAGCAAUGGGCGAAAGCCUGACUAUGCGACGCCGCGUGAGGGAUGAAGGAUUUCGGUUCGUAAACCUCUUUUGGCAGGGAAGAAAAAGUUGCAGUUAAUAGCUGCAAAACUGACGGUACCUGCAGAAUAAGCCACGGCUAACUCCGUGCCAGCAGCCGCGGUAAUACGGAGGUGGCUAGCGUUACUCGGAAUUAUUGGGUGUAAAGGGCAAGUAGGCGGCUUGGUAAGUAGGGGGUGAAAUACUCUGGCUCAACCGGAGAACUGCCUUCUAAACUGCCAGGCUUGAGUAUGACAGAGGAAUAUGGAAUUCUCGGUGUAAGGGUGAAAUCUGUAGAUAUCGAGAAGAACACCAGCGGCGAAGGCGAUAUUCUGGGUCAUUACUGACGCUAAAUUGCGAAAGCUAGGGGAGCAAACAGGAUUAGAUACCCUGGUAGUCCUAGCCGUAAACGAUGAGCACUAGAUGUCGGUCCCUUUAGGGGUCGGUGUCGCAGCUAACGCAUUAAGUGCUCCACCUGGGGACUACGGUCGCAAGGCUAAAAC
rnacentral:rRNA from 1 species